GACAGAGGCCUCGAGCGUUAGGCGGAAUCACUGGGCUUAAAGCGUGUGUAGGCGGACCCCUAAGUGUCUUGUGAAAUCCCACGGCUCACCCGUGGAACCGCUGGGCAUACUGGGGGUCUUGGGCCAUUCAGGGGCAACUGGAACAAGCGGUGGAGCGGUGAAAUGCGUAGAUAUCGCUUGGAACGCCGACGGUGAAAACAGGUUGCUGGGAAUGUGCCGACGCUGAGACACGAAAGCCAGGGGAGCAAAGCGGG
rnacentral:rRNA from 1 species